UCCAUUUACCGUACCCAGUUCAAGUUUUCAAACUUAAUUUAAGUCAAAUUCUAAGUCAUUGUAAACCCAUGUUUCCCCUAUGAAGACAUUAUACAGUACAAAUAUAACAAAAUACCCACCAAAAUAUGCCUAAACAGUAUGCUGACAGGGUGUAGUGCAUAUGUAGUCCAACACAAAGGUCCUGGAUCAAAAUGUGUGGAAGAUCAAAUAUGUGUAGUGCCAUACAACAGCUCAAACGGAAUUUACUGAGUAUUUCAGGGCCAUUGUUUUGUAUUGUAUUUAUAUUAUUAAACAUAUUUAUUGUAAUGUCAUUAAUAGUAGUUAGAGUUCUGAAAAGAACUUAGUGAUACUGCGUGGACCCCUCAAAGUGUAUUAUCCCUUUUGUACCAUCGCUGCAUAUCAGUAUUUACUCUUUAUUUUCUGAGUUGUAACUACUUCAUCAUGCCAUGACACAUAUGAAGAUAGGUGUUGUGUACAGUGUAUAUCGUAUACUGUGAUACUCAUAUUAUGUUUUUGUGAAUUAUUUAAUGGUGGUUCAGAGCUUAGCUGCGUUAAUAAAGCAAGUGACAUGUAUUCAUGAUUAAGUUGUCAUGUAUGGAGAGAACACUGUGGUACAUAGCUCAGAUUACAGUUAAAAAAUCUAAUAUCCUAUGAUUUUACUAUGAAGUUAAAACUAUCAAAUGAAUAAAGCGUUUUACAUGUGGUAAAUAUUAGUGCCUCCGUCCCCAAGGCAGCUGUUUUGAAGUGGAUGACUCACUAAGGCCAUGGUAUAUUAUGGGAAUAGUCCUUUGAUGUCCACACCUACUUUAAAUGCCGAUUAAUGACUGCACAACUCAUGUUUCUAAGCUGUAUUUGUCUGGCUUUGUACAUGAAUAUUUUAUAAUGUAGUUGCACGGCUGCUUUAUAUAAAUGCUUCUGCUGUACAUUUCUGGCAGAGAUCAAAUUGGAAGCUUUGAAGCUCAAGGCAGAUGCUUACUUAGGUGUAAGCACGCUUGUAAUCCUUUAAGAAAAACAUAACUUAAUGCCAUCAUACCUUCAUUUGUUAUGUAGAACACUAUCCCAGGUCAGAAUACAGUAAUUUGCAACAAAUAAAUUCAACACAGUAGUCAAAACUGUUCUAACAUUAGUCAUAAUACACAUAAUGUAUUGUCAUUUCUGUAGCUCCCCAGUUUGAUCACCGUCAUAGACCUCUCUUUGCUGACUUGUACGUCUUGUUUUAAACAUGCUAAGCCUAUGUCCUGCUGCUGUUUGGUUACAUAAUCCAGAUAAUUAAAAUGACUGUUCUAUGGCUACAUCUGCUUAUUGGAAGU